GGUCACGCAGGCUUAACCGAGAGGACAAUGGCAUGUAUAGGCGUAAUGCAGGGAUUUUGGGGUGUCCGCGGUUAGAGUCCUCUCAGG
rfam:Callipepla squamata strain Texas jcf7180005233142, whole genome shotgun sequence.